rnacentral:lncRNA from 1 species
ACUGCUCGUGGUAAGUGGCUUCGUGGUCUUUAUAGCUGUUACUCUUUUGUACUUUGUCUUUUUCUUUUAUUUUCUUUUGAGCGAUUGUGCGAACAUAGCAUAGCACGCACUAUGCCUUCUGUGUUGUAGCUGCCUGGCCAGGGCGACUGGCGGAUAAGGUCUUGUGCGUGGCCUCGAGGCUUAAAAGUAGCAGUGGGGCUUUGUGAAGGACAAAAUGGCGAUGGCGGGCCGUGUAGGUCCCCCUUCCUAUGAUGAGGACCUUUUCACAGACCUGUACUGAGCUCCGUGAGGAUAAAUAACUCUGAGGAGAUGGGCCCUGCAAGCCUCUUGCUUAGCCGUCUGUUCAGAAAAUAGCGUUUUCGAAAUGCCCUGAGUUGACCUAAUGUCUUAUUGGGCUCCUGUCUGCAGGAUUUACGCGCACGUUGGAACCGAAGAGAGCUCUGUUGUUGCAAUGUUCAGCCCACAAGAGCUUACUGGUGAAGGAAUGGGACAAGACCCAUCUUUAUGCAAAGCCAGCGUUACAGUAAUGUUCCAGGUAUUCCUGAUGACAGUCUGCCUCUAUCUUACAGAGCAGCUUGUUGCUAUAUACCAUUGAAAAGCCUUCAGAGCUGAGAGGUACUACUAACCAAUAACCUGCUUGGCUCAAAGGGCCAGCACCUUCUCUCUAAAGCCCAAGAGGAGUUUGAGGAAAACUAGGUGUCUGUGUUCACUCCAGGCUGAAGUUACAGGUCUGAGCAAAUAAGGUGUAUAAAAAAUGGAAUCUGUCUUGGAGGACAUCAGAAGGUGAAUUUUCCAAGUUCUUGGACAACCUAGCUGUUGAAAAGCUUUCUGGGUUUGGGGGGUAUUUCAGAUGUACCUUAAAGUGUUAGCAGACACAGAUUAAGACACUGGGAGCCAAUGAAACAGCAGUUGAGGGUUUGCUGUGUAUCACAUUUCUGUAUUUUAUCACCCCCUUCCUGCAACAUUAUUUAUCUGGAAUCUACCUGCCCUUUUGUUUUUUAGAUACAAGGGCUUGGUUUUGUUACCCAGGCUGGUUUCAAGGCCAUAGCUUUAAGAGAUCCUCUCACCACAGAUUUCCAAAGUGCUGGGAUUGCAGGUGUGAUUCAUGGCACCCAGACUUUGCUGCCUUUCUUACAUGAUCCAGGCCCAGAACCCAAACUCAGGCACUGUAUAGAUGACCACUUUCGUAAACUACUGACCUAGCUUGUUGCCAAUUGUUGAUUGAACUUCCCAUAACUCCACUUCGUGUCUGUUCCUCUGUAUACAGCCACCUUCUGUUCCCGUCAUGAGCCUUUAGGUCUCCAUUUGCAUAUUGCAAAUACUAUGUUCCAUGUAGGUAGCUCAUUCAGGGCCUUGCUCUUCACUUCAAAAAAGGUUCCCUUGAGGACUGGCUGUCAAUUUGUGUUGCUGUGUUGGUUGUUGAUGAAAAUAAUAAAAUGAUUGAUUACAUA